rnacentral:sRNA from 1 species
GCCGUUUGUAAUUCGGGCGGGGUUCGAACCUGCCGCAGGUCGAGUCGACCAGAGGGAGACAGCGUUGCCAAAGGCAACGACCCGAAGGGCGAGGCUUCAGCCGAGUCAUCCUGCACGACCCACCA